rnacentral:rRNA from 1 species
GCAUGGGGUGUGGGGAAAGCUUUCGUGGCAUGGGAUGGGGUCGCGUCCUAUCAGCUUGUUGGCGGGGUGAGGGCCCACCAAGGCGUUGACGGGUAGCCGGCCUGAGAGGGCGACCGGCCACAUUGGGACUGAGAUACGGCCCAGACUCCUACGGGAGGCAGCAGUGGGGAAUAUUGCACAAUGGGCGCAAGCCUGAUGCAGCGACGCCGCGUGCUGGGAUGGAGGCCUUCGGGUUGUAAACCGCUUUUGUUUGGGAGCAAGCCCUUCGGGGUGAGUGUACCUUUCGAAUAAGCACCGGCUAACUACGUGCCAGCAGCCGCGGUAAUACGUAGGGUGCNAGCGUUAUCCGGAAUUAUUGGGCGUAAAGGGCUCGUAGGCGGUUCGUCGCGUCCGGUGUGAAAGUCCAUCGCUUAACGGUGGAUCCGCGUCGGGUACGGGCGGGCUGGAGUGCGGUAGGGGAGACUGGAAUUCCC